AACGCACCUUGCGCUCCUUGGUAUUCCGAGGAGCAUGCCUGUUUGAGUGUCAUGAAAUUCUCAACUGCCUUUUAGCAUUUAUGUUAAGGGUGAAGUUGGAGUUGGAGGAUAAUUGCUGGCGCAACUGAGGUUGCUUGUUGGCUCCUCUUGAAUGAAUGAGUUUUUCUGAUGGAUCAUAGCUCAGUAACACUAAUGUGAUAAUUAUCUACGUUAGAUGUGAAGAGGCUCCUACAGAAAAGGUGUAUCUUGGGGAUAACAAACCCUUGACUUUGACAAAUCUGACCUCAAAUCAGGUAGGACUACCCGCUGAACUUAA
rnacentral:ncRNA from 4 species